AUGGACAUGCUUUGUUCCACUCUCCUGCUGCUGACCAUCCCUUCCUUGGUUCUUUCCCAGAUCAUCCUGAAGGAGUCUGGUCCUGGACUGAUGAAACCCACCCAGACCCUGUCUCUGACCUGCACCUUCUCUGGGUUCUCAUUCAGCAGUGGUAUUGGUGUUAGCUGGGUUCGUCAACUCCCAGGGAAGUCACUAGAGUGGCUUGCAAACAUAUGGUGGGAUGAUGAUAAGUAUUACCACCCAUCUUUGAAGAGCCGGCUUACAAUCUCCAAAGACACCUCUAAAAGCCAGGUGUUUCUAACUAUGACCAACAUGGGCCCUGGAGAAACAGGAACAUAUUACUGUGCACGAAUAACACACAAUCAUAACCCAAGGGUUCUCCUGCACAAAAACUCAGGAUGA